CGAGCUCUGGGGGGCGGACUCCCCCCUCGCUUUGUCAUGGGGGCGGGGCCGUCUCGGCAGGUGGUCGCCGCGGCCGCCGGGUGACUCCUUCUGGCCCCGCCUCCUGCCAGGCCCCGCCCCACCGCGGACACCGGGCCCCCGAGAGGCCGCCAGCGCCGGCCAGCGGCGACCAGGAGCCCAGCCCACCUCACACCCCACAUCGCAGCCAGGCCAGCGAGGCCUGAGGGCCAGGAUGCGGGCCGGCAGGACCCCGACGGCCGGCACGCGCCCCGAGCGAGAGGCCACGCCCCCCUCUGCAGGGCAGGAGCCCGGACCGAAGCCCACCGCGGCCCAAGAACGGGCAGGGCUGCCCUUCCUGCCACUACUGGACGGGGGGGCCCUGCUGAGUGACGUCCAGCUAACGCAGGCAUCGUGCAGGGCUCUCUCCGUCGCCGUGGGAGCCACUCAGGCUGCUUGACAGAGAGAGUCUUAAGAAAGCUCACGAAGCCAGGGAAACCCAUGGUCAUACGGGACCACGUGCCAGACGUCCAGCCACCUUGCCAUUGUGGGGCCUGGCUCCAGCAGCUGUGUCCUGGCUGUUCUAGAGCUUUCUGAAGGUCCUUCACUGGCUCUGGGCUCAAUGAAGGCAGCGCUGUGCUUGUCCAGCCUCUCACGUCCCCAGUGACCUGCCCUGCUCCAGCACUCUGUGCCCUGGUGACGAUGGGGCCCCAGAGGAAGCCCGCAACCCGGAAAAGCAGCCUUUCUCAGGAAGAACAAUGCCAGGACCCGGGCAGGUGGAGGGUGGGGAGGGCCCUGCACCCAGUGUGCUGAGGCAGGCAGCCCUGGGCUCUGCGGCUUUCCUGUAGGACCCGACCCCCGAUCCCUGCUCUCGAAACCCAAGCCCCAGGGAGCCGCUGACUGGCAGGGGCCCCUGGGGGGCAGCGGCUCCCGCUGAGACGCAGACGCCCCUCACCCCAGCCCCCAUGUUCUCAUUUCUUGCUGGUGGUCCUGACUGAAGGACGAGGCGGCAGCCCGGGGGGCGGGGGAGGCCUGGACUGACAGGGGGCCUGGGGGAGUGUCCUCGGGAAGGACCGUUCGAGGGGCACCGUGAUGCUUGCUGUGUCCCCCCCAGGCGUGUCUACCCUGAUUUCCUGGUCUCCUUCAGCCACAUCGAGCCAGCCCGCCUCUGCCGGGCGCUGGGCUGGGAGGACGGGGGGAGCCCGGUGUGGCCUCAUGACGCAAACAGAGAUGCUGCCGGCCACCUGGCCACUUGCUGAGAGCGGGCGGUGGGUGUGGAACAGGGGCGCCGGGCUUGGCUUGGGGCGCUGACCUGACCUGCGAGCUGACCCCACAUUCCCUAGGCCCGGGGCCGGGGGUGAGGACCCUCCCCUGAGCACGAGGCAGCUGGUGCAGGGGCGUGAGGUCACAGCAUCAGCGGGGAGCUUCCCAGGACGGGGAUCCACACACGGGUACGUACGUCCAGAGCACUUAUGCUCAGGGAAGUGACAGGGUGUCAGCUUUACCCGACCUAGUAUUUCGAGGAAACAUGCGAAAGACAAAGACCCAGGAGCUCAUCCACGUGUGACAGCCGAGCGAGGGCCCUGCACACCCGCACAGGUGCAUCCAGGUGUCAGGCGUGUCUUCUCGUGUCUCGUGGGAUGCAUGUGAGGCACGCCGGAAAAGCACAUGAAACGCAGACUGGCAUCAUCUUUUUAGACGUGGCUGUACCCAUUUUGCAGUCGUGGAGGAAGCAGGUGCUGGGCUCCAGGUGAGCCGGCCCCAGGCUCUGGCCCAGCCAGCAGCAGCGGCCAUGGUGCCUCCCGUGAGCCCAGGCCCCCGAGCUCAGGGGCUCUUGCCCAGAUGCGUGGAGGCCCCGUGGUGCCCUCCCUGGCGGCCCUGCUGGCACAGGUGGCCUAGCCGUCGUGUGCCCCAGGUCCUCUCCAGUAAGCAUCCCAAACCCAGCCCGUCGUGGGAGACUGGACCAUCCUCCCCAGCCACUGCUUCCUCCCAUGAGAGGUGCAUAAUUCCCCACCCAUCAUCUCGAGACUUGGCCUGUGCGUCCCACAGGAGAGGUAGGGCCCCAGCUUUGCUGACUUUGAGCUCAGCUGGGAGCCCAGUGCUGAUGAAUGAGAGGUAAGUGUGCAUGACGUGGCCAUCUGAGCAGAGCCCCGACUUAGUGCCCCGUCUCGAGGCCUUGGCUCUCUUCCUCCUCCCCCGGCUCACUUCCCCAGUUCAUUUGGGUCUUUGCUCAGUGGUCACCUAACACCAGUCACCACGGCCACUCCGUCAGCUAACACCACGGCCCUUCCGCCUCCUGGCUCCCAUUCCCCACGUCCUUGUGUUGUGAGGGUGAGCCACUCCCUGGGUCACCUGCCGCACCAGGACUGCAUCCUCUAGUUUAAAUUUCCAGGUGCCGACAGUUUGCCUCCAAAAUCCCAGAGCAGUGUUUCCUGCUUUAUUUUCGUCUGCAAGAGGCUGUGCAUGUCAUUGCUGCUUUCCCCUUGUCUGGAAGGUUCUGGAAUCCGAUGCUUGCUGAAAGUGGACACUGUGUCCCAAGAUCUGAGCCCACCAUCCUGUGAGCUCUCUGAAGGCAGGAGUUGUCUUCUAGAUCUUUCUAUCUACCACCAAACCAAGCGCCUGGCUCAGCACGUGUCCCCCAAGUAUCUGCUGGAUGAAGAGCUUUCCAAGAAAGUGAGAAAAGAGACAGAAGGAAUGAGUGGAUGUCCAAGACUUAGACCCAUCACCUCUGGCUCUAAGCCCUGUGCUGUUUCUGCUGAUUUGAGAACACCUGCAUCUUGGAUUACGAGACCGCUCACCUCAGGGCUCCCCGCGGAGACAGCCCACUGGAUGAAGGCGUGAGAGGUGAGGCCUACUGGAAACCGACAGACCCCUGAGUCAGACGUGGUGGCCAAGCACCGUGCGGGAGAGGGUGCCCCCAGCUCCACAGAGUGAGCCGCGGGUGGGAGAGCGCGUUCCGCAGGAAGCAGCCGGGGCGUCUGGCCGUCGCCGCAGGAAGGGCUUCUGCAGUGCUUCGUCUGGAAGGCAGUCUCAGGGUGAGUCCUGAGGUUUGGGGGGAGGACGCCGCUCGUUUCCAGAGUGUAGGUCACUGUUCCACGGAAGGUGUGACGUGGUGAGGAGCUACGCACCUGGAGGUGGAGUCCACCUGCCUGAGGGGGGGUGCCCUGACCCCGCCGUCCACUCCCUCCCUGCAGCCCCCAUGAGAAUAAGGGGAGGCACAUUUUGGGCUCGCGUUAGAUCGGAUCCGGUACUUAUUUUCUCUUGAGUUGAAAAGGAGAAUUUUGUUGGAUCUAAGUUCUUCCCCAAAGGACACAGCGCUGUCUGGGCGGGGAAUCCCGUGGCAGUGGGGACGGCGCUGGGAAGCCCUGCGGUCCCCGGGCUGGGAAGCGCCCGCCGCACUCGGGCUGGGGAGGCUCUGUGGGACUGAGCAGCCUGGCCUCCUCGGACCCAGACGCCUCCCAGACGGCUGCUGUUUGCCGCUGGCAGGGCCGGGGGGCCCAGGGCUGCCCGCAGGUCAUGCAGAGGGCUGCAGAGGAGGAGGCUUGGAGGGAGGCCGCCUCUGUCAGCUCCUCUUCCUCUGGCCCUGCCUCCCCGGCCCUGGGACUUGGGUCCUCCCCCACCUCCCUGGCCCCGUUUGAAAGCUCGGGCUCUGGGGAGACAGCUGGUGGGGGGGGGCUUCAAGAAGCAGCUGAGUGUUCCCUCCUCUCCCGAGGGGCACGGGGCUUGGGGGCUGGCGAACAUCCUCUGUGAGCGUGGCUCUGGGGAGCUGCUGCCCAGCUGCCCACUGACAGUUCUGGCCUGAUCCCCCAGAGGACGUGGAGGAGGAGGAGGAGGAGACAGGUGCCCUGGGCUCGGGGGACAUCUUACCAGGGGAUGGGGUGAGCUAGUGGAUCCUUGGCUUGGAGGCCCCCCUCCACCCCCGCCUUGGGAGGGAAAGCCCCACGGCACAAGGGUCCCAGGGGCACAGCAGCCGUGCUGGUGGUGAGCUCACCUGCUCCCAAGGAGAACACGUGCUGCGCGCUGGAGAAGGCAGCCCAGGGAGCAGGGCUUACACUCAAACAGAAAGUGGACCCACUGUUGGUUGCUACGUUGUUUGGUGUAGCAGUGCCUGGACAUGAUGAAACUCAGAGGAAAAAACUGAUAAGGCUCCAAGUCUGGAGACUAGGAGAAAGUCCAGGAAAUGGCUGGUAGCCUCCACAUUUAAUGCCGCUGUGCCCGGUGACCGUGACUCGGUAGAAGUGUCAGACUAUUUCUAGCACUGGAGAUUUGCAGGGGAGAGCUGGACUCUCCUUCCCACUCCCCGUGUAGCCUCAGUCUCACCCUGGCACACGCUAGUCCUGCUGGCGGCCGUGACUUUGGGUCCAGGUCACAGCGUUCCAAGCCCACCCCAGCGUCCCCUUGCCCCAGGAAGGCUCUCAGCCUCACUGCCACCCGGGGGGAGCCCUGAAAAGAAGGGACCAAGGUGCUUCUUCUGACGUUCUCCACCCGGGCCUCGGCCAGCCGGGUGGGGCCCGGACAGAGCAGAGCCUUCUGGACAAUUCCGUGCCCCGCUGGGCCUGCAACCACAGGCCACCUGAGUCUCCAGCGAGCAUGUAGUAAGUACCUGGCCUGGUGGGAUGGAGAGAGGGAGACCCGUGGACCCUGCCCUUCCCGCCUUCCCCUCCCUCAGCUACAGAAACAAAGAAGUGCAAGCCCCAUCAACCCAAAGAAGGGAAACAGAUUCUGGUUGGGAGGGUGACGUCUACAAUGGGCUGGAGCGGGAGUGGCCGGCGGGCCAGGAUCGUCGAUGUGGACCUUGUACCUCUGAGCUGAUGUGCAGGCAUGGGGUUCAAGGGGACCCACGUGGAAUAGCCGCCCCUUUAUGAAGUGAAAAGAAACGUAUGACACAUACACCCUCCCUCUGCCUGAAAGUAGAGCAGGUGGCGAAGUAAAAAAUCUGGGGACAAGGGAGUGAGGUUCGUCAGUUGUCCAGCUUUGGUCACACAGUGGUGUUGGUUUAGGCUCCCUAACUCAUCCCGACCCCCCUGUUGCCGUUUCAAAGGAGAAUUUCCUAAGGAGUUGGGUAUGUUUCUCAAAGUGUGUGUGUGUGAGUUUUAUUCUUUAUUAAGAGCACGUAAAAUGAGUGUUUUUUUUCAAAAAAGCAAUCUCUAGAGAUGUGCGCUUUGAAGCAGCCUCUUCAUUUCUGGCCACUGAAUGCCUAUCAGAGGCUCCCAGCUCCUAGGCGAGUGUCUGUCAACUUAGCCUCAAAGGGCAGGAAAUAUCCAGAACUGCCUUCUGCAAAUUGCCACCACUUGGGGGAUAGAAAGGAUACAGUUCAUGCAGCAGUUAAUCAGCAUCUGAAUUAAUAUCUUCCCUCCUAUUCACUUAUUAGGGAAAAAAGUGGUUUUAGAAGAUACUAGGUUUUUACUGACAACCCAGAACAGGCCUUUCAAAUAACCCAUGGUUAAGUUUUCAAGUGAGGGCAGUCUGUUCCCAGUAAGGACAUCUGGAGACAUCUCGGGGUGUUUUCGUUUUUACCAUAACUGGGGGUAAUGCAGGCCCCAGGGACCCUGAACAUCCUGCCAGACAGGGUGUUCUGCAGAGUGAAUGGCAGUCCUGCCAAAACGCCCAUGGAGCUCCUAAUGAAAAACACUGGUUUUUCAUUAAAAAUAGGAGGGAGGCAGAACAAAAAACAAAAAAACUGUUGUUGUUUUUUUCUCAUUACAAGGAAGUUCUCGUAUUGGGCAAGGCCACCCACCCUCGCUGGUGGGUCUUGGCGUUUUGAUUCCCUUUUCUCCACCCUUCCUGUUGAAAGUCUCAGGUGACAGCUCCACGGUCCGGUCACAUCCACCCGUGACAUGAAACCUCGGCCAGAUCUAACAGUGUCAGCCUCAGUUACACAACUGGAUGUGAACCAGUCUUAGAAAAGCCAACAAGACUCCAUUUCCAUCCCUCCCCACCUCCGGAGGCUGCAGCCUGAGUCGAGAACAGGCAAGGGAAAUUGGAGGCCGACAAACCAAGUCCCCUUCAGUGAGAAGGUGGACGGAUCCUGAGUUACUUGCUCAGCAGGUGCUCAGAAGGGCAAGGGGGAAGCACAAGAGAAAAGAGGUGGAGACAAAUGUUCUUUUGUAAAGAUGAUGGAAUUCCUCACCAUAAAAAGAGUGAAAGGAUGCCAUCUGCAGCAACAUGAGUGGACCUAGAGAUGACCAUACUGAGUGAAGUAAGUUAGACAGAGAAAGACAAAUACCAUAUGAUAUCACUUGUAUGUGGAAUCUAAAAAAAUGAUACAAAUGAACUUCUUUACAAAACAGAAACAGACUCACAGACUUAGAGAACAAAUUUAUGGUUACUGGGGGGAACAAAGGAGGGAUAAGUUAGUUUGGGAUUAACAGAGACACGCUACUAUAUAUAAAAUAUAUAAUCAACAAGGACCUACUGUAUAGCACAGGGAACUCUACUCAAUACUCUGUAAUAACCUAUAUGGGAAGAGAAUCUGAAAAAAAAUAGACACAUAUGUAUGUCUGUAUAACUGAAUCACUUUGUUGUAUACCUGAAAGUAACACAACAUUGUAAAU